UUAUUUCCUAAAGAAAACAAGUAUAAAAACAAUCAUGGGCUAUAUCUAUUUGGCAGAGCAAGUAAGAAUAGUAACCCCUGGGCUCUGUCUUGGGGCUGUUUUUGGUUCUUUUAUAUAGACAGAUUUAACCAUUCAUCUCUAAGAAGUUUCUCCCUCUUUGUUGGUAGGUGUCUGAGGAUUUGUGAGCAUCAAGUGAAUGUUCUAUGGAAUCAUCUUUCCUUGCCUUUGAAUUACCUUUCCCUAGGCCAUGAGUCAACAUCCAUAUUUUAUUCUUCCAAAUUGGUGUUUCUCAUGAACCUUUCAAUCAAGACCAUUUUCACUAUCCCCUCACAAAUGUGCAUAAAUGUCUGUAGGGCAGUUGUUAAGAAAAAAAAUCCAGAUGGUCUGGAUAUGGAUCUUUGACAUAUAUCUUACUAGCUGUAUAUUGUGGUAAAGUUGUGUGAAGAUAUUGAAUGCCUUUGCUUUUCAGUUUUCUAAUCUGGGAAUGAGUUAUUAUAGCAGUAUUGAUCUGAUUGGGCUGGUUUGGUGAUUGAGUUAGCAUAUAUGAGUUAUUUUCUAUCAAUACCCUGCUGAACUCCUCCAGAAGAACAGGACUAAAUCCUCUCAUAGACUUCCAUUGUAGCCAGCAUCCUGAUAAAAUUGUAAUUAUAUGAUUAUCUCGUAUCUUUGCUACUAGACUGUAAGCACCUAUGAGGGUAGUGCCCUCAUCUGUCUGAUUUAGUGCAAUACUCUCAGUGAGGACACAGAACUGGUGAAGAUGAGGCGCUUGAGGAUCACUGUAGAGUGAAUGAGUGAAUGAAUAAAGGACAAAUUCCUUCAAUGUAAGCAGCAUUUACUUGUAAUUUACUUAAAGUAUUAUUUAAUUUAAUUUGUUUUCCUUAAUUUAAAAAGCCAUAUAUUAAGUUUUUAACUGUCAGUUGUAUAAUUGAUUUUUAUAUGAGAAUUUUAUGUAUGAAGUGUGAUAAAAUAUGGUGAAUGUUUAAAUUAAUAAAUUAUUAAAAUAAAGAAAAUAUUGCCAUUAAUCUUCCUCAAAAUAGCCACCCCUUCCUUGCACACACUUAUGCCAUUAUUCUUGUGACUUUCUGAAGCAGUUCUAGAAAUCUUUUUGAAGAAGACCCAAAUGUUCAGUAGGUAACUUUGACAUUGAAGUACUCCUUUAUACCUCUGUUCAUAAUUUUAUCUCAACAAUACAAUUAUUUUAAAAUCUUAAUUAGAUAAAGUCUAUGGCAUUCUUAAGGAACUCAAAAAAACAUGGCAUAGUGGGAGGGGAAGGGGAAAGGAGAGAAGAGAAAGGAAAAAUUAUGAGAAGAGAAAAAAAUUGUAACAAAGUCUAUGUAAAUAGGGAAGGGUGGAGUGGGUGAAGGGCGCACAGGUAAUAGGGGAAAAAAUAAGAACUAAGAUGCAACAAGUUCAGGUACAAGCACCCAAUGAUAAAUGUAAAUGUAUUGUAUACCUAAAAUGUACCAGUAAAAUAUUUAAGAAAAAAAAAUGGCAUAACAUAGAUGAUUUUUAUUUACCCACUCUGUUUAAAAUUGGAACUCUGCACCAAUGAUCACUAUCAAUAGCACUUAGACACACACACAUUUUGUCAUUAUCCACCUUUAUUUUUUUCAUUUAUUGAGGAUGGUUACUAUGGUAGAAAAACUGAUGUACAGUUGCUUUGACCUAAAGUAAUUGAGACUCAUGGUUACCAUUUUAUUAUGUCUGUGGCCUUAAAACAACCAUUUAACAUGUUUCAUGCUUCAUUUUAUUUGACAUGUAAUAGGAAUGAAACCUGGGGGAAUUACAUUUCCAUAAUUGAAUGGUACCAGGCCAUGUGCCAGUUUUCAGGCAACUAUCAUUAGACCCAUUUUAUAUAUUGGGCAGGUUGAGUGUCUAAAUGUAAUAUAACUUCACACAGUUACGUGGUAAAAUUAUACAACAAAACAAUGGUUUCUAAUUUCAAACUAAUCUAACUGUCUUCUCUCCACUGACGUACUAUAUUUGAGCUCAAAUUUAUACUUAAGCAUAGCAAAUUGCAAAAGAAAGAUUAUGGUACUUGUUUCCUCCUCUGAUGUAUUUUAAUGCUCAGUACAUUAAAAUAGGACAAAAAUAACAGAAAAUUAUUAAUAUGUACUGAGUAUUUACUUUGUACCCAGUGCUAUAUUAAAUAAUUCACCGGGAUUAUUUUAUUUUGGUAUGGAAACACAGACAACUACUACAAUUGUACUGAUUUUACCUUUGAGAAAACAGACUAAGAGAAAUUAAAUUAGUGGCUCAAGAUGAGUUAGUAAUUAUUUGAAAAAAGGAUAUAAAUCUGUGUAAUGUGAGAGUUUAGCCCUUUCCUAGUGACGUGCAUUGCUCUUGUUUUCACUAAUUUAAGUUGAUGAUGUAAAAGCUGGCAUUCCCUUUUGUUUUGUGUAGUUUAUAUUCUUCAAUAUGUUUCACUCACAUACAGUGUGGUAAAAUGAACUCAUAUUCUCUCUUUUCUACGCAUUUAUAUUUAUUGUGUUUCUAUGACUUUUAUAAAUAAAUCAGACCGUAACGACAACAAACCUUUGGCUGAAUUCAAUAAUUCUGGCUCCUCCCAUUCUCUCAUUGCAACCCAUGGACUUUAAAGUUCAUUAUGAGGAUCUGUAUGCCAAUAAUAUUUUAAAUUUUUAUGAGCAUGUAAUUCCAGAAUUAGAUAAGAAAAUAUAUUAUAUUUUAGAAAAAUCACUUUACCACAUUUUAAUACAUCUGUGUACGACUCAUAAGUAGUUUCUAGAAUAACAGUAUUACAUAGAUGAUUUUUUCUACUUAAAUAUUAAAUCCUUACUUAAUGAUUACUGUUAGUUUGGCCACUUGUGCAUAUUACACAAGACUGUGUUUGAAAUUUUCAGUGUUCCCUCUCCUAUAUAUUAUUCCAUGCAGUUGUUUUUGUAUGCAAAUUGUUGCUUUUUAGGACCACUUUGCCUUUAUGUGUUGCUAUUUUAUUGUUGCUGUACUUAAUUGAACGUUCCAAUUGUGUAAAGAGGAAGAGUUCUUUAAACUUGAAACAUUUGCUUCAAACAGUAUGAAGAUAAUGUAUGUAUUAUUUAUUUACUUUCAUUUCUCUAAAAUAUCAACUUUGAUUAAUAAUUAUAUACAGGCUUUGUUCUUCUUAUCUGGGUGUCAACAGUAAUUGGAAUCCAUAUCCAUAUCCUACCUUGCAAUCAUGCUACAAAAGGCCAAUAAAUUCCCGCUGAGUGUGUUACUUGUUAAAUUUAGUGCCUUACAUUCAGGGUAAUGAAUAAAAGCAGUGGGCCGUUACCGUCUGUCUGGCUGAGGAAGGCUAGAAUAGCCAGACUCCCCUGAGGCUUUGAGGCAGCUUGAAAACAGUGACAGGCAGAAUCAAGGGAGUCUCGGAGCAUCACACUUCGGUUUGUCUCCCUUAAUUUCCUCUUCUGUAGAGACUCAGGCUGGAAGGAUGUGAGGCAGUCUUAUCCAUUAAUUCACCACACUUUCAUAAAAUGCUGCAUUCUCUGGUUUAUUAAGAAGCGAAUACAGUUUGGAUAAAUAGAUAUGUAUUUACACUGAGCACGGAGAUGAGAAUACUAGGGAGUAUAAACUAGUAGCUAUGCCUCGAUGCAGUUCACUCUGUAUAUCUACAUAUGCCCAUUGUGUAUUCAUUUGUGUGUAUCAAAAUGCUUAUGGGUAUUUUCAUAUGAGUGAACAACCAAUGAAGCAAACCCCAUAGAAAUAUGUAUCAACUUAUUUCCAUCUCAUAUCUAUUUAUUAUACAUAAGCAGUUAUUGAAAAAGUGAUACCAACAUUCUUAAGGUCACUUGCUCUUUAAUAAAUAUAUUCAUCAUAAAAAAAACCCUGUGUCUUAAACUAUAAUAAAAAUUUUACUUGUGUUGUAAGUACAACAAAUACAAGGGUAUUAGAGCAUCCUGUUCUACAUUCCUAGUUCAAUGUGUUUUCUUGAUUCUUUAACAAGUUUUUAUUCUCCACGCCUGAUAAUUGUUACACAUUGUUUCCUGCCAAGUUUCCUG
rnacentral:lncRNA from 1 species